GCUGCAGAGUCAGGGCAGCCUCUGUUGAUCUGGUGUCUUUGAAGGGGAAGACAGUCUCAAAGGAGCAAGAGGGAAGAAUAAAGGAACAAAUUAAACGUAUGAAAAUGUAAUUCCAGGCUUAUGUGAACUCUACUCUGGGAAGCAGCAGCACAGUGGUGAAACGACCGUGGACUUUGCAGUCUGAGAUUCACAUUCCAACUCCACGCGAGCCUCCUAAUACUGAUGUGGACUGAGUCUGCCAAUCAAACCUUUUGAGUCUCAGUCUCCUCAUCUGGAAAAUGGAGUUCGUAAUAUCCCUUAAGAAAUGGGAAAAUGUGUGCAAGGGUUCAGGUGCAGCAGCAGAGGGGCGGAGCACACGGUGCAGUUCUCGGUGCCAGGACCCUUGCAUUCCAUGCAGCUCUCAUGGCAUUUUUCACAGCUUGGCUAAGGCCCAGAUCCUGUGGUUCAGCAGCAACUCCAGUUACACCCCAUGUACUGCUCUCCUGGAAAUCUGUACACUUGGGACUGGAAAUCAUUCCAAAAGGCAGCCUGCUAAUUUCCACAAUGUUGUCUCUUGCUUUCCAAUUUAAGACCCUACAUCUAUUAUUGCUUCUAAUAGCCUUGGGGUUUAAAAGACAGGCAUUUUCAUAUUUCUGUCACAUUAAGAAUAGUUCACGAGGGGGUGAAGGGAGGGCAGGGACAAGUGGAAAAAAUGAGAACCAAGACCUGUCAUGUGAAGGUACAGGAUCCCAAUGAUGAAUGUAACUGUACUGUAUACCUAAAAUGUACCAAUAAACUCAAUAAAAAAGAAAAAAAAAAAGAAUAGUCCACCACCUGCUCUUCCUCACACCAAUGAACUCAACAAAUGCCGAGCCACCCCUGGGGUGUCUGUGAGUGUUAACUCUGCUCAGACUCUGAGAGGUCACUUGUGGAAGUUAGGUGGCUUUGGGUCUACAACUUGAACUUUAAUUUCAAGUAAUCUUAUGAAGAGGAUAAGCAAAAGUUAAAUGUCUGACUGCAAGGAACGAGCUAGUCAUGGACGCACCAGUUGCAUAAAAGCUACAUAUUAGGCCCCAUGAGUUCUGCUCUUCACUCUCUUGACCAUCAGUGUGUUUCAAUAGAUUUCUUUUUAGCAUCCUAUCAUUAAU
rnacentral:lncRNA from 1 species